ensembl:miRNA
GGAUAUCAUCAUAUACUGUAAGUUUGCAAUGAGAUACUACAGUAUAGAUGAUGUACUA